rnacentral:rRNA from 1 species
GACGAACGCUGGCGGCGUGCUUAACACAUGCAAGUCGAACGGAAAGGCCCUGCUUUUGUGGGGUGCUCGAGUGGCGAACGGGUGAGUAACACGUGAGUAACCUGCCCUUGACUUUGGGAUAACUUCAGGAAACUGGGGCUAAUACCGGAUAGGAGCUCCUGCUGCAUGGUGGGGGUUGGAAAGUUUCGGCGGUUGGGGAUGGACUCGCGGCUUAUCAGCUUGUUGGUGGGGUAGUGGCUUACCGAGGCUUUGACGGGUAGCCGGCCUGAGAGGGUGACCGGCCACAUUGGGACUGAGAUACGGCCCAGACUCCUACGGGAGGCAGCAGUGGGGAAUAUUGCACAAUGGGCGGAAGCCUGAUGCAGCAACGCCGCGUGCGGGAUGACGGCCUUCGGGUUGUGAACCGCUUUCGCCUGUGACGAAGCGUGAGUGACGGUAAUGGGUAAAGAAGCACCGGCUAACUACGUG